CGUCCACGGCCCCAUUUCCCAUUCAGAUCCCCGCCCUUAAUGUGGAAAAGGCUUUGCAUAAGCCGGAAAGACCUCGUGAGCUCCUCCAAUUCCCGGGCUCCAAUUUUGAGCCACCGAGGCAGAAGUUUUCCCAUCAGCGUUGCCCCUGUUACCCCACAUUCCUCUCUCCCGGCAGCCCACCCCAAACUCCGCCUGGCUGGGCGGGAAUGCCCUUAGGGGGUGGCGAUUGUCUGCACAGCAAGCCCUCCCCCAUCGCUCCCUGUCCAGGGGUCUCUCCAGGUUGGAGAGCGCCCCCAGUCUGGCGCCGGUUCGGGUGCACCCCUACCCCGAGCCCAGUCCGGCGUCCCCUUCACCGCGCGCCCGCCGCUGUCCCCGAGACGCGGCUCCGGGCCGUCACCCCGAUUUCGGGGCCCCGGGCCUGCUGGCUGCGUCGCAGACGUGCUUGGGCCCGGGCCCCGGAGCGCGCACAGGGCCCCGGAGCGCGCGCUGCUCCCGGAAAAGCACUUACUUUGCACCGAGCCCGGGAAGCUCUCGCCCUCGCUGCUCGAGUUCAUGGCGUAGACUGGAUCUUGGGCUGCACUCCAGCCGUGUCAGCUCCGUUUAACUCAAUGAUUUGGUGACUUCUUUUGGAUCUCAGAAGGGCCCAAGGAACGCCACCCGUGAGUUUAGUAGUGAAGACAUACUGCCGAGAUUAAGCAAGGCUCCUGCAGUGCAUGCAGUGAUGCCAGCCACUCCAGAAGGCAUAAGGUCAACCUCCUGGAGCCCCGAGAAGAGUGAAGACAGUGGAGAGGAA